UACGGAGGGUGCUAGCGUUGUUCGGAAUUACUGGGCGUAAAGCGCACGUAGGCGGUCUGUUAUGUCCGAUGUGAAAGCCCUUGGCUCAACUGAGGAAGUGCAUCCGAAACUGGCAGGCUAGAGUACUAAAGAGGAUCGCGGAAUUCCCGGUGUAGAGGUGAAAUUCGUAGAUAUCGGGAGGAACACCAGUGGCGAAGGCGGCGAUCUGGGUAGAUACUGACGCUGAGGUGCGAAAGCGUGGGGAGCAAACAGG
rnacentral:rRNA from 1 species